GAUGAACGCUAGCGGCAGGCUUAAUACAUGCAAGUCGAGGGACAGCACAGGUAGCAAUACUGGGUGGUAACCGGCAAACGGGUGCGGAACACGUACACAACCUUCCUUUAAGUGGGGGAUAGCCCAGAGAAAUUUGGAUUAAUACCCCGUAAUAUAGUUGAAUGGCAUCAUUUGAUUAUUAUAGCUACGGCGCUUAAUGAUGGGUGUUCGGCUGAUUAGAUAGUUGGCGGGGUAACGGCCCACCAAGUCUACGAUCAGUAGCUGACGUGAGGGCAUGAUCAGCCACACGGGCACUGGGACACGGUCCCGACUCCUGAGGGAGGCAGCAGUAAGGAAUAUUGGUCAAUGGACGCAAGUCUGAACCAGCCAUGCCGCGUGAAGGAUUAAGGUCCUCUGGAUUGUAAACUUCUUUUAUUUGGGACGAAAAAGGGUCUUUCUAGACCAACUGACGGUACCAGAUGAAUAAGCACCGGCUAACUCCGUGCCAGCAGCCGCCGUAA
rnacentral:rRNA from 1 species